CAGGGAAUCCAUGGAGCUUAAAAAUUGAAUCCAAGAAGAUAUGAGCCAAGGACUGAGCUGUGUAAGGGUGGGCUAAUGCAAUGAAAUGUCCAUACUUGGUAAGAUCCAAUGACCCAAAUGACAGUGUUGCCCAAGGAUUUAGGCAGUCCCUCAAUAAAAUCCAUAUUGAUAUCUAUCCAAGGGAGGGAAGGAAUGGCUGCAGCAGCCCAGGAGAAGCUGAGUUGUCAUACUUG
rnacentral:lncRNA from 1 species